UAUGACGACACACCAAACAAAUGUGUUUGAUGGAUCACGGAAAAAGAGCAGGAAUAGAUUUUUGUAGUCUACAGUCCAAGUUAUGUCUUCCAAAAGUGCGAAUGCUGUCGGGAUCCAAAGAUUAUUCAACUUGAAUUAAACAAUGAUUUCAGUUAAACACAUUUUCUUUGCAGGUAGUUAUGCAUCCGAUGAGGCAGCGGAUAUCAAUGUUUUGUGGCAUGAUUUGGGUGACGGCCUCGUGUUUCUCUCUACCUCAUGCCAUUUAUCAGAAGCUGCUGUGGUUUGACUUUGGAAAGGUUCGAAUGGUGUGUCUGCCCAGCUUUCCACAGCCGUCAGAUGUGUUUUGGAAAUACUUGGACCUGGCCACGUUUUUCCUCCUCUACUUGUUGCCACUUUCUAUCAUCUCCGUAGCUUACAUUAUCGUUGCUAAGAAGCUAUGGAUGCGUAAUUCUAUAGGGGAUGUCGCCCACAGACAAAGGAAGAAGAUGACUCUGAAGAUGCUGAUGUUGGUGGUGGCUGUUUUUGCUAUUGGCUGGUUCCCUUUAAACUGUUAUGUGAUUUUGGUGUCCAGCCAGGCCAUUAACACUAACAAUGCUAUCUACUUCACCUUCCAUUGGUUUGCCAUGAGUAGCACCUGUUACAAUCCUUGCCUUUCAUUUGGCGUUCCAAGAGGGCAGUACAUCCAUGCUGAGGUUGUCAUCUCUAUAACUACAUAGAUUAUGUAUAAAGAUAUAGAGGUUAAUGCAGAGGUUAACAUCUUUCCAUAAGAUUCUGUCAAGGUUGCACCUAUCUCCAUUCAGUUGAUGUAAUUUAUAAUUAGAUCUAGGUCAACCUAUAAUAUGAAAUAUUAGAGAAUAACAGAAGUCUAUUUCUUUAAGGGGAGGUAAAAAAUAAAUAAUAAAAUGGUGAAGUAAUAAAAUAUUUUGUAAAUAAUCAGGAAAGAGAAUAUUAGUGAAACACUUGUAUGGAUACCAUAAUGGUAAAUAAAACUAAUGUGAUUUAGCAUCUUAUGUGUUUUUUCAAAACAUGAUAGCUUACACAAUUCAAGUAAAAAAAUAUUUGUUUCAAUGUCUAUCGUUCUUUUAUAGUAUAAUGUUUGUAAAUGUGUAACUGUGCACAGAGUAAACUCGAAACAUUCACAAUCAUUCAUUAGUGCACACUAUUGCAUAGGGCUAUUCAAUUCUGUCCCUCAAGAGAUGUACAGUAGUACUGCUGUUUUUCUUUCCUCCCUGGUAGUUAGUUGAUCAGUGUAUGUCAUUGACCUUAGACUUGACCCACAAUGUAUUCUCAGGGCUGAUUCAUUCAGUCCCUGAUCAGAUGGAGGAAGUAAAACCACCAGUUAUGUGUGUGGCCCUCAAGGAUUUUUCCUGGCCCUGCCAUAGCAUUAUGCAAUUAGUCAGAUCUGAUGAGCCAAGAUUAAGCAAGUGUGAAUACUUUUCACUGAAUUACCUUUAAAGGAGUACCCAUAAUGUCAUGUCAUGAUACUUGAAAUCAUUCAAAUAAUCUGAGCAGAACUAUCUACCAAUAUAAUUGCUUUCCCAUAAAAAAAAUAUUAUAAUUGCUUAAUUCGAUAAUUUCAUGAAUUUAUAUAAUUAGAUAUAUAGAUGAUCAUUAAAAAUCACAAAGUUAUUGAAUGGCUUGGAUUGACCAAUCAGCAUGCCGGAUAGAAAAAUGUACUUUUCUCACGACACCAUCUGCUGGUUGAAUCAUAGACAAUCUUCAUGUAUAAAAUUGGUUGAAUAUACACUAUGAAAUAGUGUCAGUGCCAGGGGAAUCAGAUGUUCUUAUGUGUGAGUAUGUCAUUUGUAUUUAAACUAAAUGUAUUUGUAUUUGAGUGUUUACCCGCAUUUGUAACUUGAGUCCGAUAAUUAUCUGUACAAAACAGUUCAUCUGAUAAUACUUGUGGAAUAUAAAAGUACUUGCUUGUUUUCCAGUUUUUUGAAAUACUUUGCAAAUAGAACGUAUUUCUAUUUGAAAACUGAAA